rnacentral:RNase_P_RNA from 1 species
UUCGGCGGACAGACGGCCGCGGGCUGUGAGAAGCAGUUCGAGGAAAGUCCGAACACGGCAGGACACGGUGGUGGGUAACGCCCACCGGGUCGCAGGUUGAGGCCCAGGGAAAGUGCCACAGAAAACAAACCGCCGCGGAAGUUCGCUUCCUCGGUAAGGGUGAAAUGGUGCGGUAAGAGCGCACCGCUCCGCUGGUGACAGUGGAGGCAGGGUAAACCCCACCGCGUGCAAGCGCAAGCAGUUCUCGGUCGCCCCGCGCGACGCCCGUGGUCCGCGGGAUGAGAACGGGUCGCGUGCUCGAGAUCGUCGGCAACGGCGAUCCCAGAUGAAUGGCCGUCACCCGCAACCGCCCGUCGUGAGAUGGGACCACGCGGGAACAGAAUUCGGCUUACGUCCGCCACAACCA